rnacentral:misc_RNA from 1 species
UACGUAGGCUCCAAGCGUUGUUCGGAAUUACUGGGCGUAAAGCGAGUGUAGGCGGUCCGUCAAGUCGGCUGUGAAAUCUCCCGGCUCAACUGGGAGGGUGCGGCCGAAACUGACGGACUAGAGUUCGGAAGAGGAGAGUGGAAUUCCUGGUGUAGCGGUGAAAUGCGUAGAUAUCAGGAGGAACACCGGUGGUGAAGACGGCUCUCUGGGCCGACACUGACGCUGAGACUCGAAAGCGUGGGGAGCAAACAGG